rnacentral:rRNA from 1 species
AUGCAAGUCGAGCGGGGAGCAAUCCCAGCGGCGAACGGUCGCGUAACACGUAAGCAACCUGCCCCGAAGACCGGGACAACAGUUCGAAAGGACUGCUAAUACCGGAUGUGCCCACUCUUUCGCAUGUUAGGGUGAGUAAAACAAGCAAUUGGCUUCGGGAGGGGCUUGCGGCCUAUCAGCUAGAUGGCGGGGUAUUGGCCCACCAUGGCGACGACGGGUAGCUGGUCUGAGAGGAUGGUCAGCCGGACUGGGACUGAGAUACGGCCCAGACUCCUACGGGGGGCAGCAAUUAGGAAUCUUGCGCAAUGGGCGAAAGCCUGACGCAGCGACGCCGCGUGGAGGAGGAAGGCCUUCGGGUUGUAAACUCCUUUUUCGAGGGAAGAACACAAUGACGGUACCUCGGGAAUAAGCCCCGGCUAACUCCGUGCCAGCAGCCGCGGUAAUACGGAGGGGGCGAGCGUUGUCCGAAGUUACUGGGCGUAAAGCGCGUGUAGGCGGGUUGCCAAGUCCGCUGUGAAAGCCCGAGGCUCAACCUCGGAGGGUCGGUGGAUACUGGCAGUCUUGAAGGUGCUAGGGGGAGAUGGAAUUACCGGUGUAGCGGUGAAAUGCGUAGAGAUCGGUAGGAACACC